GCUGAUUGAUAUUGUUGCAUUCAGAGUUAGAGUAUACUAACUCUGGAGUAUGGACACUGGCUAAAAUAUUACGCCCACUUUAUAUCUAUUAUAUUUUCUGUUUGUUUCAUUAUGUUUACAGUUCAGUUGCUCAAUGUGGGGUUUAUUUACUGUCAUGUUAGAACAGUAAAGCUGUAAAGCAAGGGGCUAGGUUAAUGACUAUCAGUGUGGUAGCAACGAUAGGAAAGUGCAGAGCUCGCUGAGAGUGGGUAAUCACUCACCGAGACAAGAGUGAUAAAUAAUGAUUAUAUUUAAAUAUCAGUAAUUACAGUAUUUAAUGUGAGAUGCUUAGCUGGUGCCAUAAACUCAGUUCCUGGUCCCACAGGAAAGACAGGAUUACGCAGCAUUAUACUAAAAGCAAGGCACACUGAUAGGUGUUCAAAUAUAAUUAUAUUCAAAAAACAUUUUAAGACAGAAGUGAUCACGCCUAAAGGAUGAGCCCAGUAUCAUGAUGUAGGCAAAAAAAAGUGUUAGAACUUAUUUAAGCUGCUGCCAGUCCCACAUGGUGAAAUUAGACUUGAAGGUUCACAAUCCCUCCAGACAAAUCCUAACAAGAACUAGCUAACUUCCCAGAAUUCAAUAAAUGAUGUAGCUUUCUUAAAUACAUGAACAAAUCAUACUGUAAAUGGGAGAGUAGAUAACGGAGCUAAUAUCUCAACCUGUGGAUCAACUCAGACUCCACCAGCUUAAGGUAUAGUUUUUACCUGUAGUCCUUCAUUUGCUCAGUUUAGGGGCACCUGAACCAGCACUCCACCUGCUCCAGGUUCUGGUUAGAGUGACCUUCCAGCUCACAACAGAUCUUCAAAGAAGAGCAAGGACUACUAUCUCCAGCUGUUGUUCCGGACGGUGGAGCUAGUCUGUCGAACCACAGGCCAAGUCUAACAAUAAUACAACCGUGCCUCCAUGCAAUGGGACAAAGAGAGUGACUGUAAACUGAAGCAUGCAGCACGAAGCCUGGCUUUUAAGGAAGCAGCAGUACUAGUUGGAGAAGAAAGAUCAGAGAGUUUCUCCCAGAGGGGAGAGAAGAAGCAUGUUUUGAUUCUUCACUCUGAAGGUGGCAGAAUUCAAAGAAGUAAAACUGGAACAACUACUCGGCUGCCUGUGUUCUCAAUGAGGCACAAUCAAUGCAUCCACACAGGAAGUGAUUAGCAGCCCAAAGACACAACAUGAAGCGACUUCAAGCAACAUUGUUCAGUGUGUAGUCCAUACUUUAAGCCAUCUACUCACCAGCCCCUGGUAUCUAAAGGAGUCGUACACGCUCCGGAUGAAGAGCCAGAAUGGCCAGAGGUACUCAAACCUGAACUCAAGUACAAAAUCUGCC